CCCUUAGAUGUUCUGGGCCGCACGCGUGCUACACUGAUGCAUUCAACGAGUCUAAAACCUGGUCUGAUAGGGCUGGGUAAUCUUUUGAAAGUGCAUCGUGAUUGGGAUAGAUGAUUGCAAUUCUUCAUCUUCAACGAGGAAUGCCUAGUAAACGUAAGUCAUCAGCUUGCAUUGAUUACGUCCCUGCCCUUUGUACACACCGCCCGUCGCUCCUACCGAUUGAAUGAUCCGAUGAAUACCAUGGAUUGAGAGUACGAAUAGGUUCGCUUAUUUCUGCUGCUCGAGAAGUGGAGUAAAUCUUAUCAUUUAGAGGAAGGAGAAGUCGUAACA
rnacentral:rRNA from 1 species